rnacentral:rRNA from 1 species
GAUGAACGCUGGCGGCGUGCCUAACACAUGCAAGUCGAACGAAGCACCUUACCUGAUUCUUCGGAUGAAAGUUUGGUGACUGAGUGGCGGACGGGUGAGUAACGCGUGGGUAACCUGCCCUGUACAGGGGGAUAACAGCUGGAAACGGCUGCUAAUACCGCAUAAGCGCACGAGGAGACAUCUCCUUGUGUGAAAAACUCCGGUGGUACAGGAUGGGCCCGCGUCUGAUUAGCUGGUUGGCAGGGUAACGGCCUACCAAGGCAACGAUCAGUAGCCGGUCGGAGAGGAUGAACGGCCACAUUGGAACUGAGACACGGACCAAACUCCUACGGGAGGCAGCAGUGGGGAAUAUUGCACAAUGGAGGAAACCCUGAUGCAGCAACGCCGCGUGAGUGAAGAAGUAGUUCGGUAUGUAAAGCUCUAUCAGCAGGGAAGAUAAUGACGGUACCGGACUAAGAAGCUCCGGCUAAAUACGUG